GCCCAGGUGGCGGAAUUGGUAGACGCGCACGACUCAAACUCGUGUACCUCUGGUGUGCGGGUUCGAUUCCCGCCCUGGGCA
rnacentral:tRNA from 1 species